rnacentral:rRNA from 1 species
UCUACGGGAGGCAGCAGUGAGGAAUAUUGGUCAAUGGGCUUACGCCUGAACCAGCCAAGUCGCGUGAGGGAAGACUGCCCUAUGGGUUGUAAACCUCUUUUGUCAGGGAGCAACGCCGGCUACGUGUAGCCGGACUGAGAGUACCUGAAGAAAAAGCAUCGGCUAACUCCGUGACAGCAGCCGCGGUAAUACGGAGGAUGCGAGCGUUAUCCGGAUUUAUUGGGUUUAAAGGGUGCGUAGGCGGAAUGCCAAGUCAGCGGGAAAAUCGCGGGGCUCAACCUCGCUCCGCCGUUGAAACUGGCGUUCUUGAGUGGGCGAGAAGUAUGCGGAAUGCGUGGUGUAGCGGUGAAAUGCAUAGAUAUCACGCAGAACUCCGAUUGCGAAGGCAGCAUACCGGCGCCCAACUGACGCUGAAGCACGAAAGCGUGGGUAUCGAACAGGAUUAGAUACCCCUGUAGUC